AUGUUAUUAGAUUGUUUGCUGGCCCCUCUAAAGCUCUUAAUUUUCUUCCACAGUUGUUGUGUUUUCAUGUCACCCUGCAACAUAUUACCUAAGGCCGAAUGGCAGGAGUGUGAGCAGAACAGACUGAAUGUGAGUUUCUCCACGUGGGUUACGUGUGUACGCCACCAGCAGACCACCAGCGCCUUUUAUAAUCGCACUCUACAGAAGAGGUACACAUCAAAUCUAUCACAGCCUGAAGAGCACUGGCUUGUAUUUUUGGCUGUUUUAUGGUGUACAGUAUAUCAGAUGUUGACAUGUUUUAAAGCUGUCAUGUUUAAUUUAUUCACCACUGUCUGCACCACACAGAGCUGCAAGUCAUUUUUGGUAACACUUAACAUUACGAUUAUGUUACUUAACAUUAAUAUGCGUAACUUUGCAAGUACAUGUCAUCUUAUUCUACUAACCCUUAUCGAACAAUCUACAAAUAUUGUAAUGAGAGUUAAUUGACAUGUAGUUGCAAAGUUACUUAUAGUUAGUAGAAUGUCUGAAGUGGACUAUCAAAAUAAAGUUUAACCAAAAUGAAUUUUCUGUAAAUAUUGCAUAAAGCAGGGUUAUUAUUGUUAACUAAAGUUAAAACCAUAAAAAAUCCCAUUACUUGAAAUAGAAUAAAAGUUAACCAAAAAAAAAAAAUCUUAUGUUAAACUGCUUUAAAUUACUUUUUUGCCCCCACAUUAAUCUAAACUCCAUACACCAUAAUGGUAAAGCAUGUUUUUAACAUCUUUGCUAAUUUAUUAAAAAUAAAAAACUUAAAUUAUUCCAUUGCAUAAGUAUUCCAACCCUUAUCUGGGACAGUUGAAAUUUAGCUCAGGAGCUUUCAUUUUGCUUGUAGAUGUUACAGCACUUCAAGUGAAGUUAACCUGUUUCAAAUUCAAUUGAAUGGGUAUGAUCUGGGACGGCACACAGUGUUCUUAAUAAAAGGUCUAACAGCUAAUAAUGCAUAUCAGAGCAAAAACCAAGCACUGAGGUCAAAAGAACUGCCUGUAGAGCUCAGAAACAGGUUUGUGUCAAGCCACACAUCUGUGAAAGAGUUCAGGAAAAAAUUAUGCUUCUUUGAAGGGUCACAGAAGCAUGUAGUCUCUGUUAGCCUUAAUGGAAGAAGUUUGGAACAACCAGGACUCUUCCUAGAGCUGGCCUCCUGACC
ensembl:lncRNA